CUAUGCGCCUUGCCAGCCCGCUCAGAAACUACAAAGGAAUUGACGGGGCCCGCACAAGCGGAGGAACAUGUGGUUUAAUUCGAUGAUACGCGAGGAACCUUACCUGGGCUUAAAUGUAGAGUGCAUUUUUUUAGAGAUAGAAAUUCCCUUCGGGGCUUUCUGCAAGGUGCUGCAUGGUUGUCGUCAGCUCGUGCCGUGAGGUGUCGGGUUAAGUCCCAUAACGAGCGCAACCCUUAUCGUUAGUUGCCAUCUGGUAAUGCAGGGGACUCUAGCGAAACUGCCACCGUAAGGUGAGAGGAAGGUGGGGAUGACGUCAAAUCAGCACGGCCCUUAUGUCCAGGGCUACACACGUGUUACAAUGGUCGGUACAGAGGGCAGCUACCUGGUGACAGGAUGCUAAUCUCGAAAACCGGUCUCAGUUCGGAUCGAAGUCUGCAACUCGACUUCGUGAAGCUGGAUUCGCUAGUAAUCGCGCAUCAGCUACGGCGCGGUGAAUACGUUCCCGGGCCUU
rnacentral:rRNA from 1 species